GCUGCAGUCCGUGGGGUCACAAAGAGUCGGACACAACUGAGUGACUGAACAACACAACAUAGGGGGAGGAUUACUUGCUGUGACUUAGCUGUGUCAUACAUAUAUAGCCUCGCUAAGCUAUUAGUGAGGCUUUCAGUAAGUGAUGGGGAAGAGAAUGUUGACUUGUAGCGGAAAUCAGGGCCAUGAACUUGGAACAUAAUUUCUGUGGGUUCUUUUAUCCUAAACCCUCAAGUCUGCCUUUGACCACUCCAUUUUUUUUUUUCUUUAUUGCCAGUGCUGUGUUCUUCUCAGAUGUCAACAGUGCCUUCAGGAGAUGGGACGCCAGAUGGCAUUUGUCUGUAUUUUAAUCAAAACGCCCUGUUCUCUUUGCCACGGUGUGAAGCAUUUUGUGCUGAGCAGAAAGAAGAAAUAAUAGAGAAACCUGUAGUAACUUUGCAGGAUUUCAAGGACAAGAAAUGUACCCAAAGGCUAGGUUAAGAAAUUGCUCUUCCCCUGGGACGAAAAGCUUCACAAAGGAAUGACUCUCCACUGAGAAACCUGGGUAAGUGCUUGACUGAGAUGAGGUUGUUCUUUGAAAGGGUGUCUUUUGGAAAAUCUUUUAAACUUCACUCAAUGUUCCUGUAAUACCCAUUAUGGGACCUGAUCUCAGAUCACUGAGAUCUAUGGGGUUGACCAAAAAGUUCAUUUGAGUGUUUCCAUAACAGCCUAUAAAAACACUCGAACCAAUUUUUUAACCUGAUACUAUCCUGAUGGUGGAUGGCAUCACCGACUCGAUGGACAUGAGUUUGAGCAAGCUCC
rnacentral:lncRNA from 1 species